GACGAACGCUGGCGGCGUGCUUAACACAUGCAAGUCGAACGGAGUGGCGAACGGGUGAGUAACACGUGGGUGAUCUGCCUUGCACUUCGGGGUAAGCUUGGGAAACUGGGUCUAAUACCGGAUAGUGCAAGAUGAGCUCGCGGCCUAUGGGCUUGUUGGGGGGGUAAUGGCCUACCAAGGCGUCGACGGGUAGCCGGCCUGUGAGGGGGUACGGCCACAUUGGGACUGAGGUACGGCCCAGAGGCCAACGGGAGGCAGCAGUGGGGAAUAUUGCACAAUGGGCGGACGCCUGAUGCAGCGACGUCGCGUGGGGGAUGUAGGCCUUCGGGUUGUAAACUCCUUUCGACAGGGACGCGGUACCUGCAUAAGAAGCACCGGCUAACUACGUGCCAGCAGCCGCGGUAAUAC
rnacentral:rRNA from 1 species